rnacentral:rRNA from 1 species
AUUGAACGCUGGCGGCAUGCCUUACACAUGCAAGUCGAACGGUAACAGGUCUUCGGAUGCUGACGAGUGGCGAACGGGUGAGUAAUACAUCGGAACGUGCCCGAUCGUGGGGGAUAACGAAGCGAAAGCUUUGCUAAUACCGCAUACGAUCUACGGAUGAAAGCAGGGGACCGCAAGGCCUUGCGCGAACGGAGCGGCCGAUGGCAGAUUAGGUAGUUGGUGGGAUAAAAGCUUACCAAGCCGACGAUCUGUAGCUGGUCUGAGAGGACGACCAGCCACACUGGGACUGAGACACGGCCCAGACUCCUACGGGAGGCAGCAGUGGGGAAUUUUGGACAAUGGGCGAAAGCCUGAUCCAGCCACGCCGCGUGCAGGAUGAAGGCCUUCGGGUUGUAAACUGCUUUUGUACGGAACGAAAAGACUCUGGUUAAUACCUGGGGUCCAUGACGGUACCGUAAGAAUAAGCACCGGCUAACUACGUG